GAUGAACGCUGACAGAAUGCUUAACACAUGCAAGUCGAUGGGGAAGUGGUGCUUGCACCAUGGCAACCAUGGCGGACGGGUGAGUAACGCGUAAGGGACUUACCUGCAGGACUGGGAUAACAGGGGGAAACUCCUGACAAGACCGGAUAAUGUCAUGGAGCUGCAUGGCUUUAUGAUGAAAGGAGACGCCUGCGGAGAGCCUUGCGUCCUAUUAGCUAGUUGGUGAGGUAAUGGCUCACCAAGGCGAAGAUAGGUAGCCGGCCUGAGAGGGUGGACGGCCACAAGGGGACUGAGAGACGGCCCUGACUCCUACGGGAGGCAGCAGUGGGGAAUAUUGGACAAUGGGGGCAACCCUGAUCCAGCAAUUCUGUGUGCACGAAGAAGGUUUUCGGAUUGUAAAGUGCUUUCAGCAGGGAAGAAGUAAGUGACGGUACCUGCAGAAGAAGCGACGGCUAAAUACGUG
rnacentral:rRNA from 1 species